GGACGCAACUUGACCCCGAUGAUUGACCUUUGCAUUAUAAUACAUAAUGAGGCACAACCUAUUAUUGAAAAGGAGUGUACGUAAAACACGAGCUGCACGAAAAGAAAAGAAGGAAAUAUAAAUUUAUGUAAAUAUAAAUUAGUGUAUUUGAAAGUUUUAACUGACCAAAUGUAAGUAUAUAUACUUUGAUACUGCAAUGUAUACACACUUAUUCAAUAUAAAUAUACAUGGCUACCCUACGCACCCUUGAUUACUAGAAUGAAAUAAUCGAUAUGAAUAAUCAGCCUAAGGUCAACCAUCGCGGUCAAGUUGCGUCUGCUAUAAUAUAGGCUAGUUUAUUUUCUGAAAACCAACUAGCGUUAAUAAAAUCUAUAUGUGUACGACUAGGACCCAUCAAAGUUAUGCAGUUACUACAUCUCAUUUAUGUUAGUGUAAAGGAUUAAAAUAAUAUAAUACCGUGAAGUUGCAUGCGUCUUGUUACCCAUUUGAUUAUUUACAUAGAAAGCAAAAAAAAAAAAAAAGGUAAAGUGAAACGCUUUUUUGACUAGAAACUUCACAUGGUGCAAUAAUUGAGAGGAAGUUAAUAUAAAAUUCAUGGACAAAAGGAGUAAUAUUUAUGCACAGUGUUUUGUAGUAAAUAUUUGCACAAAUCUUUUUAACUGAUUUUAUUCUAGCACUGGAAGUAUGAAUAUUUAAAAACAGAAUUUGACUUAUAAUCUGAAAAAAGAAAAGAAAAAAGAAUUGAUUACGUGCCAGAAUACUUAUCAUUAAGGUGUUGUGAACGGAAUUGGAUAGAAGAAGGCGAUAACAGUGACACAAAGAAAGAGGAUACAACAAUAAAACAUCUCAAACCAUGAGCAAAGUCAAAGCUCUUCUUGAUAAACGGAAAAUGUUACAAUCCGGUCUCGCUUUAAGCUCGGAGUUUGGCCAGGAAACAGUUGAUCGAAAAAGAAAAAGAGACAUGUCAGAGUCAAAGAAGUUGCUGUUUAGUAUUGACAACCAUGCAAACAGGUGCGCGGAGGUGAUAAAGGAAAUGCAAGAUAUGUUUAACAAUAAACGAGAAAAUAUACGACAGUAUCCGCGCGUAAAAGCUUGGAUAAAGGAGCUGGAAGAAAUAGAAAAUAAACUGAAGUUUAAACCUAUGGUGAUAGCAGUGAUUGGUAAUACAGGAAUGGGAAAGUCAAGUUUGAUGAACGCUAUUCUAGAUAAGAGAGAUGUUUUGCCGACAUCAGGAAUGAAAGCUUGUACUGCAACUGUCGUUGAAGUUGUUCAGAAUAAGACAGACAGAUUUGAUGCAGAAAUUGAAUUCCUAGAAGAAAAGGAAUGGUUUGAUGAAUUAAGAAAGCUUUGCGAGGAUCUUACAGAUGAAAACGGUGUUAUUACAAAAACACCACCCGAUCGUAACUCAGCUAUAUACAACUCUUACUGUAAGAUGGUUGCUUUGUAUGGAGCAAUCGACAAGUUUGACAUACUCUCCAAAAAGACGGAAUUAACUAAAUGGCUAGGACAAAUAAAACAUAUACAGGCUGCGAAACUUGAUGAAUUCAAAAAAGAGGUUGAAAGGUACGUUGAAGUACAAGAGUCAGGUACCGAUCACUGCUUUUGGCCGAUUGUCAAACGAGUGUGCCUUAAAUUACCCGACUGUGACGUAUGUAGCAGUGGUGCUGUAUUGGUUGAUUUACCAGGCCGCGGAGACUCGAAUGAGGCAAGGAAUGCUAUUGCAAAAUCGCAUCUGGAAAAAUGUGACCACAUAUGGAUAGUAUCAAGCAUUCACAGGUCUAUCAACGACAGAACGGCGCAAGAGCUUCUUGGGGAGCAACUGCGAAGUCAGUUUUACAUGAACGGACAGCUUGAUGCGGUUUCGUUCAUAUGCACAAUGACUGAUAUGGUGAAUGCAAAAGAAUGUCAAAGGGAAUUGAAACAGCUUGAAGGUCUGACCAAAGAACUUAAAGAGGAGUUGUCAAAAUUAAACUUACAAAAAAGAGAUCUGUCAAAAGAAAUUGAGGAGUUGACUCUCUCUGUUAAACAUGAGCAGAAAUAUCUCGACGAAGCAAAGUCAUGUUUAGAGGAUGAGAAUUAUCAGGAUGAGGAUGAACCUGUGCGCUGUGAAAAAGAAGAUUUGGAAAAGGAAGUGAAAGAUAUAGAAAAAAGUGUAAGAGAUAAAGAAAACCAGCUUCGUAAUUUGAAUAGUAAGCUACAAAGGUUGAAAGACCAACAUAAUGAGAAGAUAAAGGCUAUUGAUGAGAUUUGUGCUAAAGUUCGGAAUGAUUAUUGCGAGACGCAUUUGAAAGAACGUUUUGCAUCAAGCUACGAGGAAAUUAAAAGAGCAAGCAUACCUGACAUCACAGACGAAAAAGAGCCAGAGCAAUUGCAGAUAAAACGCCUUACAAACAACCUUAAAGUAUUCUGCUGUAGUUCAUGGGAAUACCAAUUACUCGAACACUCGGAGCCAAACGAUGCUGGUCCAAAGGUGUUCAGUAAUGUGGAUGACACACAGAUUCCGAAGUUGAGGAAUUUUGUGCACGAACUCACGAGCACAAAGAAGAAAGAGUCAUUGACAGACACACUAUCCAGUUUAGAUGGAUUUGUGUCUAGUGUGCAGAGUUACCUAUUAGACAAAGAAGUCAUGAAGCCAUCAAAACAAAGCUUUACGAAGGUCACCAUAGACUCAAAGCUGCAAAAUCUCAAGUCGACAUUAGACUGCAAUUUAGACAAAAUACGAUCAGAUCUUGAUGAUAUCUUUGAUAGAAACCUCAUUGUGAAAUUGAGAGGUGGAGCAUCAGCUGCAGCCAAUGUGGCCAAGGAGAUAUGUAACAGAUGGGGAGCUCAGCGUGGAGAAGGCGGCUUACACCACAGGACAUAUCAAGCAGCGGUGAAGAGACAAGGCGUUUACAUAGACGUUGACUUCAAUGAAGAUCUAGCUCAACCGAUCUUAACUAAAAUUGCAUUCACAUGGGGCAAUACAUUUAUGACUGUCAUUGGGACCGUAUGGCAAGUACUGGACGAAUUUAAGGAUGCUGUUUUACAGGAGAGAAAGAACUUUUUGGAUGAACUUUUACUCGAUUUCGGUAUACCAGAAGAUGUUUCCGAAAACUUUAGAAAAGCACAGGAAUGCAUUGCGUCCACUAAGAUAAGUUGUACCAUAAAGGUCAUACAAGACGAGAUAUCGCAAAAGCAUCGUGCUAUUCCUCGGAUAGCUUCACCGCAUAUACAACUACAUCUUUCUGAUGUGUACAAAGAGUGCGCUGAAAUAAAAGGAAAAGGAAUGUUAGAAAGAGUGAAGUCGAAACUUACUGCAGGAAUCGACGAAAAGCGGAGGACAAUGUUUGUCGAGAUUGCAGAUGACAUGGCAGAUAAACUGCACACCAUUAAGCUGUCGGACAAUUUUCAUUAAAAGUCAAGGGAGUAUUAGAAGAUUUCCAGUCCGUGGCUGAAGGCUCAUCACAGAAGAGGCAAAAACUACAAUGUAAUUUAGAGUCUCCUGAGCCUAUGCAAGGCUGCAGCAAGUAGACGAAUACAACACUACGUUAUGACACAGCUGCCUACACGAGUACAGUCAACAGCUAACUAUACAUACACUCAAAGGAAAUAAUUUCAGUGUCGCAAUAUUGCGAAUGAACAUUUUUUCCAUUACUCGAUACUUUACAAAAAUAUCAGUUUUACAUGUUAAGUAAGUUUUACCGCGACUUUGAAUAUUUUAGGGUCUCCGUGGCCGACUGGUUAAUGUUGUCUUCGAAUCACUUGCUCCUUACCGAUGUAAAUUCCAGCAACACUAGGGACUUCGAAUUCGUCAUGUGAGGAAGCUGUCGUAUGGAAUGUCAGUGGUUUUACCAAGGUGCCUGUCCGUGAUGAAAAUAUGCACGGAGGGGCACCUUGAGUAUUCCGUAACCAUCAAAAUUUAGAAAGUUGCCACAUUGAAAUGACCACCAAACUAUAUACAAAAUAUUAUACAUUAAUAAAUAUUUAAAUACUGAGCCUUUUGCGCUAGAAAGCACUAAGGUCUAUUUUUACAUACUUAAAACAAAAUUGAAUUAUUCCAACGCUGAAAAAAAUGUCAGAAACUUCUAGCAAAACAAGAAAUUACACUAAAUGUAAAAUUAUGAACAAAACAGAACAUAAUUUUAUUGAGACUUGUACACCAAUAUUAACUAUAUACAUAUGUAAUUUAUGAACAAAAUGUAUCUCCAGUAAUUAAAUGAUUCUGUCAUUGUUUCUUAUAAUAUUAUAAUCUACACUAAACGUUUUCCAACCAGAUAUAACGUUGAGAAUAUACUUUUCUUCACUCUUGCUUCCAGUUUUGAUAACCAAAUACUCGCUCUAAAGCAGCAUUUUGUUUUGUUUCUAUUUAAUCAAGCGUUUGAUGCAUAUCAUGUUUCUUUUUAGCUCACCUGUCACAUAGUGACAGGGUGAGCUUUUGUGAUCACCCUUCGUCCGUCGUCCGUCGUCCGUCCACAAUUUCUUGUCUGCACGAUAUAUAUAUAGUGGUUUCAUUUAUGAUUUAAUUUUAACCAAACUUGCACACAACUUGUAUCCCCAUAAGAUCUUGGUUCCUUUCUUGAACCGGCCAGAUCCCAUUAUGGUUUCCAGAGUUAUGGCCCCUGAAAGGGCUAAAAUUAACUAUUUUGACCUUGUCUGCACAAUAACAGCUUCAUUUAUGACUUGAUUUUUACUAAACUUGCAUACAACUUGUAUCACCAUAAGAUCUUGGUUCCUUUCUUGAACUGGCCAGAUUCCAUUAUGGGUUCUAGAGUUAUGGCCCCUGAAAGGGCCAAAAUUAGCUAUUUUGACCUUGUCUGCACAAUAGCAGCUUCAUUUAUGAUUUGAUUUUAACCAAACUUGCACGCAACUUAUAUCACCACAAGAUCUUGGUUCCUUUCUUGAACUGGCCAGAUUCCUUUAUAGGUUCCAGAGUUAUGGCCCCUGAUAGGAUCAGAAUUAGCUAUUUGACCUUGUCUGCACAAUAACAGCUUCAUUUAUCAUUUGAAUUUAAUCAAACUUGCACAAAACUUGUGUCACCAUAAGAUCUCGGGUCCUUUUUUGAACCGGCCAGAUCCCAUAAUAGGUUUCAGAGUUAUGGCCCCUGAAAGGGCCAAAAUUAGCUAUUUUGACCUUGUCUGCACAAUAGUAGCUUCAUUUAUGAUUUGAAUUUAAUCAAACUUGCACAAAACCUGUGUUACCAUAAGAUCUUGGUUCCUUUUUUGAACCGGCCAGAUCCCUUAAUUUGGGUUAGAGUUAUGGCCCCUAAUUUUAACCACACUUGCACACAACUUGUAUCACCAUAAGAUCUCGAUUCCUUUUUAUAUGCCUGAAGGGAUGUAUAAUGUUAUCGUCUCGGUGUCCGUCUGUCUGACAAAUGUUCACCUCAUUGAAAUGAUGUGCAGAGCGCAUGUUUUGGAUGGCUCACUUCAAGGUCAAGGUCACGCUUACGGGUCAAAGGUCAUAUGACUUUGUUUUGUGUGUAUAUUGCUCUGCAUUUGCGUUGCAUUGCAUUGCUCUUGUUUUUAUUUGGCAGAUCCUUCUUUUGUUCACUUACAAUAAUUUUUUUGAAUUACUUCCCUUUUAUGUUACUAUAAAUAGUUUUAGUAACUUUUUUAUUAUUAGCCGUAGAGAAAAACCGAGACCACUUUUCUGUGAUACAACAUGGAUGGUACCUCCAAUUUUUAGGUGUAUUUUGACUUAUCUGUACCUUUAAGAAAAUUUCAGCUAUAUUUUCUCAUGAUUCUUUUGAUUGAUCUUGAUUAUAAUUUUUGACCUUCUUGUCCUUAAGUGUAAUGAUAACAGGUGAGCGAUUUAGGGCCAUUAUGGCCUCUUGUUUAUUUUCAUAUCUAAGUAAAGUUAAUACUUUUGUAACUUGGUAUUGUGCGACACAGUACUUUUUUUAAUAUAGCGGCGUGUUGCUCAGCCUUUAUUUAGAAUGUUGUUUAGCAUAUAUUGUUUAAACUUUUAUAACUUACUAUAGUUUAGACUUCUUAGUAAAGUUUUUUGUUUACAUUUUUGACGAUGUUAAAUGUGUAGCUUUUUAAGCACAGCUUUGUUUAGACAUUAAUAAUAGAAUUGUUUAGACACUUUGAAGUGUAAUAUUGUUCUAUCUUUCGUCACAAUAACACGGUUAAUUAUUAUAAGGAAGUAAAGUCCACUCGUGCCCCUCUGGAUAUCAUUCCAUGCACAAGCUAGUUUUUUUUUAGCGUAGCAAGUUGCUGAAUAUUUUCUACCACAGUAUUUUCUGCUCGCCGAAUGGUGAACCAUACAGCCGUCGGCUUGUCCGGCCAUCCGUCCAUCCCGCAAUUCUUGUCCCAAGUAUUUCUCAGGACUUUUGCUAGAAUUUAUCGAAAAUUCCUAAGAAGCUUCAUGUCCCGGUUGGAUGAUUUUAACUGAUUAUUGCUCUUUGAUUAAUAAACAUUAUCAUACCGUGAUACCAUUUCUUGUCCGAGGUUUUCCUAAGCAACCACUGCUUGUAUGAAUACAGCGAAACUUCAGACAACUUCACUCCCAAAGAGGAGAUUUGCAUAUUUUCUUUAAGUUCCAGUCAGGUGUUUUAACUUAGUUAUAGCCCUCUAAUUAUUUUGAAUUAGUUUUACUAUUGUACCGUUUCUUGUCGAGAGUUUUCCUUAACAACUCUUCGUUCGAAUUCAGCAGUACCUUAUGUGAAGCUUCAGUCUUAAGAGGAUAUACGCAUAUAAUCUUCAUGAUGAUUUUAAGUGCUAUUUCACUUUGUUCAUUCAUCAUUAGUUAAGCGUCAUAAUUGCUUGAGUAUUCUUCAGAAAUUACUUGCUGGAAUUCAGCAAAAUUUCAUAGAAAUCUUCGCUCAGAAGAGUAGAUAUAUAGUGUGCAUGCUUUUUCUCAACAGCUACUUGCUAGAGUUCAAAGAAACUUCUUUGGAAGCUUCACUACAACGCCGACGUUUGUGCCUAUUCGAUGAAUUCCACGUUUGUCCUUUAAAUAAGCAAAGUCAAACUUUGGGAAGCAUUCAUCGGUUUUACCUAUCUAUUGUAGUAUAGUGUUGCGUUAACGUAUAAGCAGAGUAUAUUUUUUAUACCACACUGUUUUUUUUUUCUUCGUUUUUUUUUUUACUUUUGCAGCAAAGUUUUGUAUUUACAUUUUCAGUCGUAUUCGUAGAUGAUUUCAAUAUGUGAUUUUAUUUUACUAUAUUUUACAUCGGUUUUAUGAAUUAUACUUUCUGAUCAAUGCAAUUUGUACCCAUUUUUAAAUUACAGCAGGCAGUGUAUAUAACCCAUCAGCAUAGUUAUAAUUUCAGAGUAACUUUUAGUAUGGAGUCAGAAGUGUCUAAUAUGUGCAUUGUACUAUAGUUUGAUAAUGGUGUUGCAGUAAUAUACUUCGAUACUUUAAGUGUUGCAGUACAUAGUACUAUACUUUGAUUAUGAUGUUGCGGUACUAUACUCUGAUUAUGAUGUUGCUCUUCUAUACAUUAAUUAUGCUGUUGAAGUACUAUACUUUAAUUAUGGUGUUGCAGUACACUGUACACAGUAUUAUAUUUUAAUUAGGGUAUUGCAGUACUAAAAUUUUAUUAUCUUGUUGCAGUACUUUACUUUAUUAUGAUGUUAACGUUAUAUACUUUGAUUAUGGUAGUGUAGUAUUAAAAUUUUAUUAUGGUAUUGCAGUACUUUACUUUGAUUUUGCUAUAGCAACUGAACUCAAAUUUUCUUGCCGUCAAUUUUGUCUCAUUGAAUAAGAAUUUCAGAAAAUCUGUAACAUACUGAUAGUAAUGUUGUUAUGUAAUAUUAAAUAGCGGCUUAUCUUUUGUAUGAAUAUGUGUAAUAUUUAAUCAUUUUAUAGAUAUUAUAUCCUUAAUGGCAUUUUGUAGAUUAACAUUAAGCACAUGCAAAGAAAACAGUGUAGUUUAAGAAACAAUGUUAUUUCCAAUACGCAGCACCACUCUCUAUAUAAUUAAGGUAGAAUUGAAUAAACAUUAUAUUGUCUUAUAGUAAUGAAUUAGUUGUAUUAGAAAUGAAUAAAAAUAGGUAUGUGUAAACAUAUUUACCUAUAUAAAGAAAGAAAUCCAUGUUUUGUGAAAAUUUUCAAAUUAACAUUUUUUUUUCACAAAAAGUGGGUGGGGUAAAAUUACCCCAUUCUUUUCACAUUAUUUACCUAAAAACUUGAAAUAAAUGGUUUAUUGAAGAUGUAUUGCGUGUUAAGUCUUAUUAUUUAUAAGUUAUCUUCGAUGUUUACAUGUAUUAGUGUAUCUACCGUUAUAAUACCGAUAAAAUUCCAUUCCCAAAUAUAACAGUGAAGAUUUGAUCAAAAUUACGGGGUCCUUAAUUGAAAUAGCAAUUUUAUGUACUUCCUCAACUUUCUGGACAGGGGAUUUUUUCCUGGUUAUAGUUUAGACAUUGUAAAACUUGGAAAUACACAAAACAAAACU